UAAGGUCUAACCUGCCCAAUGAGGAUUUAAAUGGCCGCAGUAUUUUGACUGUGCAAAGGUAGCAUAAUUAUUAGUUUUUUAAUUGAAAGCUUGUAUGAAGGGUUGGACGAGAUAAAAUCUGUCUUUAUUUAAAUUAAUAUGGAAUUUAACUUUUAAGUCAAAAGGCUUAAAUGUAUAUAAAAGACGAGAAGACCCUAUAGAUCUUUAUUUAAUUAAUAUUUUAAUAAUUUAGGAUUAUUUUAGUUUAAAGUUUUAAUUAAAUUUUAUUGGGGUAAUAUAAAGAUUAAAUAAAUUCUUUUUAUUUAUUACAUUGAUUUAUGAAUUUGUGAUCCAAUAUUAUUGAUUAUAAGAUUAAGUUACCUUAGGGAUAACAGCGUAAUUUUUUUGGAGAGCUCAUAUCGAUAAAAAAGUUUGCGACCUCGAUGUUGGAUUAAAAAUUAGCUUGGGUGCAGAAGCUCAAGAUUUGGUCUGUUCGACCAUUAAAUUUUUACAUGAUCUGAGUUCAGACCGGCGUAAGCCAGGUCGGUUUCUAUCUUUAUUUAAUUAGAAUAUUUUAGUACGAAAGGACCAAAUAUUUAAUAUAUUAAUAUUUUAUUUUUGAAUAAUAUUAUUACUUUGGCAGAAUAGUGCAAUGAAUUUAGAAUUCAUAAAUGUAAUUUUAUUACAAGUAAUACUUGUAUUUAGGAGAUUUAUUACUAACGGUAUUAUGUAUAUUAAUUCUUGUAAUUUGUGUAUUAGUGGGGGUAGCUUUUUUAACUUUAUUAGAACGAAAGGUGUUAGGGUAUAUUCAAAUUCGUAAGGNCCCAAAUAAGU
rnacentral:rRNA from 1 species